CUUGGAUUUACAUCCACGGCAACUGUUAGAGGGCCUGUCCAAAAGCACCAAUACAUGAUCCUACUUAAUGAACACCCUAACACUCACAGAAUCUAGUUUAGGGCCAUGAAGGUGGAACUCAGCACCACCAAAGACAGUGGCAAAACAUUCUGGAUGUUGUAAAAGAGAGUGACUUGAAUGUAAAUGCUGAACAGUUGCAUUAUCUGUGCUCUUUGGUUGCACACUGAAAUGAGAGCAAGGUGAGGCCUCCUCCAGGGUGCCCUGGUGGGCAGCUUUGAGGGAGCUGGCUUUGCACAAUCUUCCUUGACUCCUGUCAUAGCCGCUGCAGGUUGUAACUUCAACAAAGCCCUUCAUUUUGAAUCAAUGUAUACAACAAUGACCUUCAUUAUCCUUCAUCUCUGGAUAGAAAUGUGACUAACAUCCACCAGCACAACUUAUCGUCAAAAAGCUGUUCUUGUUCUCCAAGUAUUUAUUGACAAAUCUAAUUUUGAAGCUAUUUUCUGCAUGCCUAAUCUUGGUGGCCUAUUGAACAUGAUUAACUUGACUCUGAUGGAAAGAGAAAAACAACCUGGAAACAUCUGGCAAAUUGUGAAGCAAUGCCUAACAUUUUUUUCCCUGUUAAAGGCAGCACAUGUCCAUGGAUUGUUGACCUUGUGAUAUGCAUCAACCCCUCUUCUGCAGCUGGAGUGUUAAAAUUGCCUGAUGUUUUCAUAUUUUAAGCACAGAAUUUUACUAAAUCUACAAAAAAAGUACCUCUGCAUGUCUACUGGCUUAUCUCCAGGGGCUUCAUUUGUUUUCUUCCGAAUGCCUUGGAGGACUAAAGGCAUUGCAUGAAUUAUCAGCAAGACUACCGGGAUAUGAACUCCAGAUGCACUCUUUGGUUGGUCACAUUCUGUACAGAAAAGAAGCAAGAAAGCAGCACAGAAUAUUGGUGAAUUUUGACAGCUUCUAAUAAGGUAUCAGACUGAAGUGAGGGUUGAACUGACAGUGCAAAGUCACUUCCACCAUUUAGGCUGAAGUGUCUGAAUUACUUUCCCUCAGUCUCUAACCCAACAAAACUGUUGAUUUCAAACAUUUCUCCCUUUCUGAUCUCACUUUUCAUCUUGAUUGAAGUAACAAGUAGGCCUUUCCAUAUCAAGUAUCCUAAUUGUAGCAUUCUUUCCCUAAGGGUAUCUGUAAUACUGCUUUUAUUGAAUGAGAGGCCUUUCUGUCCAUAUCUGUGGCUUCUCUCUCUUUAACCCCUUCUUUGCAUCCUUUUCUUCAUUUUGCUUAGGAUUUUUUGUUCACUUACAUCCUCAUUUCAUUAGUUUAUUUGUUUGGGGUUUUUUUUCCUCUCUAUUUUACAAGGAAUCAAAACAUUUGUAAUGGCAGAUGCUUUUUGGGGAAUUUACAUAAGUUCAGCAAACGCUCCACAUGCUAUCAUCUGCUCUUGAGUUCUCUGAAUUUUAUCUGUCCUUGGAGCAGUAAACUGCUCACCACCUUCUUACAGAUAAAAAUGUGAUCCUUCCUAUAUUUGUCGACUUGUGUUCAUUAUUAAAUUGUUAUAGAUGUCUAGGCAAAGAAAUCAUGGAAUCUGUGAAUCAUGGAACAUGUGAUUUACAUUUGAGAAAAGCUGUAUGGGGAAUUUAUGACAGGAUACAUUAGAUAACAGCCCAUUUUGAAAUAUUCAGAUCAGGUGACUGAUGACUGCUAAGGAUGUAGUUGGAAUGGAAACGUUUUAAGACACAGUCUCUCUGCUGUUCAAGUGCUGACAUCUAGCUUGGCGCUACACAGAAGGUCCUAGCCUCAAGCAACAGAUACCCUUGUAGCCAAAAGGGUCUACACAAUUCAUAUCAAAUUACCAAAGCUAUCUUACAGUAUAGAUCAGAAAUUACUUUUAUACAUAGCCAUUUGUUUAUAUGUUUGUCUAGGGUAAGAAAAUGGAGACCAUGACCAGCAGCCAGCAAUGGCCAUGAGAAUGGAGAUGUGGCAAAAAUCUGUGUGAAUUUCACUCUGAAUUUCACUCAGUUUUAGGAAGGGAGCCCUGGCUGAAUUUCACUCAGUUUUAGGAAGGGAGCAAAUGCAGCCCAGUGCCUGUGUGUACACUGCACUAAGAGUAGAGGUCAUGUGCAGCAUCACUUUAACACCACCACAUGAAUCCUAAAAAAAUUUCUUUGAUAUCCCAGAGGUGUAACCCAAACCUAGGGGCGCAUCUUUCUCUUCCUGAGGUGUAACUACAGUUUUCAGCCUUUUUUGUAUGAACUGGAUACAUAGUCCUGAGUAUGCUUACUUUUGCUCUAGAAAUAUAUACAAUAACAUAAAAUAAUUUUGUUUGGGCUUUAAAGUAGUUUUAAGAAUAAAAUGAAACUUUUGCAGAACUGACUUGUCUUUUUAAACUCUCUGCUUAUUUGAAAUCUCUAGUACUGUGCAAAGGGUAAGCAACACUUCUUUCCCAAUGUUUUCCCUGUCUCAAAUGGCAUUGCAAUUUAGACAAUAACAUGUGUAGCACAUGAUUAAUGAAGCUGUGCACUGAGGACAGGACAUCUGUGGGAUCACAAAGAGUUGCUUUCUGUACAUGUUACUGCAUGUUCAAGAAACUGCACAAAUUCAUAAUUUGUUAAAUUAAUUGACUUUCUCUGUGUAAUGUUAAUGUAACCUUCAGUUUGAAAAGUGCACAUAUUUGCUAGCAAGGAAAACAGGCAGGUAGUCAAAUCCCUAGAGGAUUACUUCAGUUUGCAGCUCACCACUUUGUCCUUUACCAAGGAUAUUAAUAUUUCUCAGGUGUUCUUAAAUGAAACUAAUCUUGGUGAAAAAAAAAUCAAUUUUUUAGGCCAUUUACAACUGAGUAUAAUACAGAAAAUGUCAAGCAUAAGUGUCACAGCAAUAACGAUAUCUGUUCUAUAAGGAGAUACACAGAAAUUGGGAACAGUCCAGACAACAGUGUUUUCUCUGAUCCAGCCACUGAGAAGCACAGAAAAAAGUUAGAAUCCAUCUCAAUUCAGUGAUUUCUAAAGAAAAUUUAAAUUUAUCUUUGCUAGUAUCUUUGAGCUAUUGAACUAGAAAAGUUGUUGUAGACCUGAGCACACCUGGCUGAAUUUUGAACCUUAGCACUAACUAAAAAGGAAGUGGAGGACCUGCCCUAAAAGAAGGGUAAAGAACUUUUUACACAAAAUAUAGGCCAAGUGAGAUUAGGCUGAAAAGCUGCCAUGACUUCAGAGGUGCUACACUUUUUACACCAAAGGGAAUGAAUUGCUUUGUAGGGUGAGAAGAGAAGGAUCUCUCUAAUGAAGGAAAGCACAGAAGCUAUUAUUCCAAAUUGAGAGAAGGGAAGGUAGUGCACCUGACUAGUGACUAACCUGACUUAGUCCUGUCUUCCAAAGCUCCAAAGGGUCAGAGCUCUUGCCUUCUUGUCAUCACAUCUAAAUCAAAUCUUUAAGUUAUUGCAUAGAAGUUAGGGCCUAAAACCACUUAAAUAGGAAAAUCUGCUCUUCUGUUAGAAUCAGAGGGAGAAAUUAUGGUGUACAGCAGUUCCAGUGACUGCUCAUGUUUGAUAACU